GACGAACGCUGGCGGCGUGCUUAACUCAUGCAAGUCGAACGGUAAGGCCCUUCGGGGUACACGAGUGGCGAACGGGUGAGUAACACGUGGGUGAUCUGCCCUGCACUUCGGGAUAAGCCUGGGAAACUGGGUCUAAUACCGGAUAGGACCACUGCCUGCAUGGGUGGUGGUGGAAAGCUUUUGCGGUGUGGGAUGGGCCCGCGGCCUAUCAGCUUGUUGGGGGGGUGAUGGCCUACCAAGGCGACGACGGGUAGCCGGCCUGAGAGGGUGACCGGCCACACUGGGACUGAGAUACGGCCCAGACUCCUACGGGAGGCAGCAGUGGGGAAUAUUGCACAAUGGGCGCAAGCCUGAUGCAGCGACGCCGCGUGAGGGAUGACGGCCUUCGGGUUGUAAACCUCUUUCAGCACCGACGAAGCGCAAGUGACGGUAGGUGCAGAAGAAGGACCGGCCAACUACGUGCCAGCCGCCGCUGUAA
rnacentral:rRNA from 1 species